rnacentral:rRNA from 1 species
AACGAACGCUGGCGGCAUGCCUAACACAUGCAAGUCGAACGGGAUCCUAGCCUGCUAGGUGAGAGUGGCGGACGGGUGAGUAACACGUGGGAAUCUGCCUUUUGGUUCGGGAUAACCGCGGGAAACUGCGGCUAAUACCGAAUGCCCUCGUGAGAGGAAAGAUUUAUCGCCAGAAGAGGAGCCCGCGUCCGAUUAGGUAGUUGGUGGGGUAAAGGCCUACCAAGCCGACGAUCGGUAGCUGGUCUGAGAGGAUGAUCAGCCACACUGGGACUGAGAUACGGCCCAGACUCCUACGGGAGGCAGCAGUGGGGAAUAUUGGACAAUGGGCGAAAGCCUGAUCCAGCAAUGCCGCGUGAGUGAUGAAGGCCUUAGGGUUGUAAAGCUCUUCUACCCGGGAUGAUAAUGACAGUACCGGGAGAAUAAGCCCCGGCUAACUCCGUGCCAGCAGCCGCGGUAAU